rnacentral:rRNA from 1 species
AUUGAACGCUGGCGGCAGGCCUAACACAUGCAAGUCGAGCGGAGCGGCGGACGGGUGAGUAAUGCCUAGGAAUCUGCCUGGGAGUGGGGGAUAACGUCCGGAAACGGGCGCUAAUAUCGCAUACUAUCAGAUUAGCCUAGGUCGGAUUAGCUAGUUGGAGGGGGAAAGGCCUACAAAGGCGACGAUCCGUAACUGGUCCGAGAGGAUGCUAAGUCACCCUGGAACUGAGACACGGCCCAGGCUCCUACGAUAGGCAGCAGUGAGGAAUAUUGGACAAUGGGCGAAAGCCUGAGCCAGCCAUGCCGCGUGUGUGAAGAAGUUCUUCGGAUUGUAAAGCACUUUCAGUUGGGAGGCGUUACCAACAGAAUAAGCAACGGCUAACUACGUGCCAGCCGCCGCGGUACUUC